AUGAGAUUUAGGGAGAAGCUGAAAAUGCAGGACUUUGUUAAGAAGAUCUGUUAUACUACUGUUUGGAAGAAACUUGCACUAAGGAUGCAGCGCAGUAGAUGCCAAUUUACAUCUUCAAGACCAAGACCUUAUGAAGCAAAAUCAGAACUUGGCAACUCAAAUAAGGGAUCAGUGGAGGGUCGACCUCCGUUGGGUAAGUAUAUUUUUUGGCCUCGAACUCUUCUGAAAGUGAAGAAAUCGUCCCUCAACUUCAAAACCACCAAAAUUCAGUCCCUCAACUAUUUAAACCGGAUACUUUUUGUCCCUAUUAACGUUUAA
rnacentral:rRNA from 1 species